rnacentral:rRNA from 1 species
AGUGAACGCUGGCGGUAGGCCUAACACAUGCAAGUCGAACGGCAGCACAGUAAGAGCUUGCUCUUACGGGUGGCGAGUGGCGGACGGGUGAGGAAUACAUCGGAAUCUACUUUUUCGUGGGGGAUAACGUAGGGAAACUUACGCUAAUACCGCAUACGACCUACGGGUGAAAGCAGGGGUUCUUCGGACCUUGCGCGAUUGAAUUAGCCGAUGUCGGAUUAGCUAGUUGGCGGGGUAAAGGCCCACCAAGGCGACGAUCCGUAGCUGGUCUGAGAGGAUGAUCAGCCACACUGGAACUGAGACACGGUCCAGACUCCUACGGGAGGCAGCAGUGGGGAAUAUUGGACAAUGGGCGCAAGCCUGAUCCAGCCAUACCGCGUGGGUGAAGAAGGCCUUCGGGUUGUAAAGCCCUUUUGUUGGGAAAGAAAAGCAGCAGGUUAAUACCCCGCUGUUCUGACGGUACCCAAAGAAUAAGCACCGGCUAACUUCGUG